rnacentral:rRNA from 1 species
GAUGAACGCUGGCGGCGUGCCUAAUACAUGCAAGUCGAGCGAACGGACGAGAAGCUUGCUUCUCUGAUGUUAGCGGCGGACGGGUGAGUAACACGUGGAUAACCUACCUAUAAGACUGGGAUAACUUCGGGAAACCGGAGCUAAUACCGGAUAAUAUUUUGAACCGCAUGGUUCAAAAGUGAAAGACGGUCUUGCUGUCGCUUAUAGAUGGAUCCGCGCUGCAUUAGCUAGUUGGUAAGGUAACGGCUUACCAAGGCAACGAUGCAUAGCCGACCUGAGAGGGUGAUCGGCCACACUGGAACUGAGACACGGUCCAGACGCCUACGGGAGGCAGCAGUAGGGAAUCUUCCGCAAUGGGCGAAAGCCUGACGGAGCAACGCCGCGUGAGUGAUGAAGGUCUUCGGAUCGUAAAACUCUGUUAUUAGGGAAGAACAUAUGUGUAAGUAACUGUGCACAUCUUGACGGUACCUAAUCAGAAAGCCACGGCUAACUACGUG